ACUAAUUACUAAAUCUCUUUUCUUUUACCCUCUUCAUUAUUGUUAUGAUCACAUAAUCAUGACUUCAAUUAUAAUCUUCUUUUUUUCUAAUCUGUAGAAAGAAGCCAUGAUUCCACCAUACCUUCAACACCCUUGUUGGACACUGUUUCCUGCACCUUAUCGCCGUCAAAAUCUGUUGGAAUCACUGUUUCCUGCACCUGGUCCCCAUGAAAAUUUGUUGCAACCACUGUCUCCUGCAAAUUAUCGCCAUGAAAAUUUGUUGCAUUGACUGCUUCCUGCAAAUUAUCGCCAUGAAAAUUUGUUGCAUUGACUGCU
rnacentral:misc_RNA from 1 species